rnacentral:rRNA from 1 species
AUUGAACGCUGGCGGCAGGCCUAACACAUGCAAGUCGAGCGAGCGGCGGACGGGUGAGUAAUGUAUGGGGACUGCCCGAUAGAGGGGGAUAACUACUGGAAACGGUAGCUAAUACCGCAUACUAUCGGAUAACCCAUAUGGGAUUAGCUAGUAGGUGAGGUACUGGCUCACCUAGGCGACGAUCCCUAGCUGGUCUGAGAGGAUGAUCAGCCACACGGGGACUGAGACACGGGCCAGACGCCGACGGAGGGAGCAGGGGGGAAUAUUGGAAAAUGGGGGAAAACCUGAUCCAGCCAUCCCGGGUGUAUGAUGAAGGCCUUCGGGUUGUAAAGUACGUUUGGCAGAGAAGCGGUAUCUGCAGAAUAAGCACCGGCUAACUACGUGCCAGCAGCCGCGGUAAUUC